rnacentral:lncRNA from 1 species
AUUUUCCUAAUUUCUGAUUUUCUAUUUUAUUUUCUUUUAUUUCCUUUUAUUUCAAAAAUUCAUAUCUCUUUCAUUUUAAAUCCAAAAAAUAUGGGACCAAUUGCAUUAUUUCCCUUUUUCAUUCUAGUUUCUGAAAGCGAUUAUUAAUAUUUUUUAUUUUCUCAUUUGAUAUUUUUUGUGAAUUUUCUCUUUUCUGGUUAUUUUUAAUUCAUUUUAAAUAGUUUCCAAUAUUCAAAAAAUGCAAAGAUAUUUU